rnacentral:lncRNA from 1 species
GCUGUUGUGUUGUAGCUGGUGUCAGAAUACACUGCUUGUUCAGCAGAGGUUUGCACGUUUUCAGAUGGCACCUGACCUGGCCUGCUGGUCUCUGAAGCAAAAUCUCUCAAUGGUUAGGCUAUUUUAGUAGCAGCUCUUUUAAUGGCGAUUUUUGCUGGUGUAGAACAGUGGCAACUGCAAAACGAAAUGAACCAGUUCGUCUGACCGAGAAGUGCUCUGUUCUUUUAUGAAAUUGAUGCCUGAUCCCUUAUGUGCCUGAAAUGAGCCAAAAAAAAUUUGGGGCACCUGAAAUGAGCCAGUUCGUCUGACUGAGAUGCUAAAGCAGACGGGCGUCUUUUAUUUUGCACGUUUGCCAUUGCGUAGUAGUCUGAAUCUCUUUGCACUAUAUGAAUGAGUUAUAAUAGAACGACUAAUAGUUUGUAAUAUCUAUAUGAACAUAUUUGUAGAAUGGAGAGGGAAUCAAUUAAUUAUUAGUUGAGUGAGACAAUAUUACAGUUAUUUGUGCUAGAUAAACAUAUUUUAAUUACAU